rnacentral:lncRNA from 1 species
AGAUGGCGAAGAAGAUGAGCGCAGCGCACAGCACCAGAGACAGCAUGUAGCAGAACGCAGCGAAAGUGAAGGCCAUGGCCGGCGGACCCCAAUCCCACCACACACGCCAAGAAGCCCCUAGGAGCCCGAUGCCUCCCUAGAGGACCGCACUCCCUCCAAGGAGCCGCGUCUGCACGCUCCUCUCCAGGCUAGUGCCCAGGAGGGCGCACAGCUAGCGAAGCGACUCGAGGGUCAGCGAAUAAGCGCUGGAUUCCCGCAGGCUCCGGCGACCCCAGACCCGGCCCUCCGGCGAAGACAGGAAAACGUGUGUCGAGAGUCGCUGGAGGGAACCGUCCGCAAAUCGAAGAAGAAACCAAAUCAGCAGCGAACACCUGCAAAUUAGUGCCAAGCUGUGAGCCCCUCGAGACCAACACGACAAGCGAUGCGACGACUCCACGGAGGACCGAGGGAGGAGGUCCCAUUCGCCCCAGGAAGAGCUCUCUGCUUUUCUCCACUAAACCGCUGAGGAGAGACGAGCGCUCCGCUCCGGACCCUCCCGCGCCACCGGGGCGCAAACGGAUAGUGUCCAGCGAGGUGCCCGAGCGGCCUCCGAGCUCCUCCCAAAUCCCAGAGCCGGGCAGCGCUCUUUCCCGAGAGAAGGAGUCUUUAGGUAGCCGGGAGGAGGUAGGUCCCGUUGGUCCUGCGCCCCAGACGCGGCUUCCAGCGCAGCCGUGCGCUCCGAGGCGCGCCCGUCCCCAACCGUGACUCCGGCCAGCCGGCCUCCGCAACCCAAGUGUCCCGGAAACCGGGGGUCGGACCGGGGCGAGCACUGGCUCCACCCAACGGGCCAACUCCAGCCCGGGUGGCUGCAGCAGUGGGUUUCAGGCCAAACGCUGUAGCUCGCUCCACCUGCUGCUGCCGCUGCCGCCGCCGCCGCCGCCGCCUUUGCCACUGCGAGAACUGUAGCGGUGCGACCCGGGAUUCCCUCCUCUCGGCGCCCCACCCUCGACUCCUGUUCCGCUGAGCGCGCCCUCCCCGGCGGGCGGAGACUGCAGCGCCGGGGGCUGAGGAAAGGUGGGUGGCGAAGCGCCGCCGGGCGCUUGGUGGCCGCUGCCGCCGCCACUGCAGCUGUGCACGCCCGCCUCUCGGAGGAAACUUGAAGCCAGCAGUACAAGCAGGGCUGGAGGCCGAGCGGAGGUGGGGCGGGACCGGUUGGAGCAGGGACUCUUUAAACACGUGCGUCUGGAGGAGGUGGGAAGCUGCGGAAGGGUAUGGUGUGUGCCUCGCGCCUAAACGCCGCAGCCGCCCCUCCCGGUUCUUGCAGUUUCGCCUAUCGGAGUGGGAAGUGUGGGGACUUGGGGCGUUGCCUAGUGUUGGUUGGGGAUACAGUGCAAGCCUUGGAUCCCAAAGCUGCUUGGAUGGAUUUUACCAAACUGUAGCAUACUCAGUGCUUAGGGCUGCGUUUACUGCUCUGCUCCCAGACCCUGCAAAAUUCUCCAUUAACGUCCUUCCGUUGCAUCCUCUACCCUCCCCAGCCAUCCGACCUUGGGACUAGGGAAACGUGGACUUGGUGGGCUAUUCUGCGCUGAAGAGGCAGCAACGAGGGCUCGGUGGUAUUGGUGUUGGUCCUAGUGGAAUUGUCAAGAGGAUGCUUUUGAAGACCUGAUGCCUGGAGGUACAGCAGCCAUCUUGUGACCAUAAGGAGGAAAUCAACGCAUUAAGAAGGGAAAAGCUAAGAAGAUACAGAGAGCAGGGACCACUGACAACAUGAUCAAGCCACUCUACCAGGCCUUAACUUCCUAUUCCCUGACUUCUUAUUGAAAGAGACAAUAAAACUUCUCAUUUGUUUUAACCCAUAGAAGUAAGGCAUUCUGUUACUUAUGGGUGAACACAAUUCUUAACUGAUGCCAUGGUUUAAUGGGAGUAGGGAUCCUGGUAUGACAGGAAAUUGAGAUAAUCAGUUUAUGGCUAGUGUAGCAGCUCCAAGACACGAUUAAUGUCCCAAGCUCUUUUGCCCUCCUGACUUGCUAGCCUCAGUAUGUGGAUUUUGUUCUCCCAGUCUGAAGGCAUAACUUUUGGGGAAGAGUAAAAGAAGCCCUCUCCAGAGAUCUGCUACAUCUCAUUGGCCAGAACUCUAACAUUUGGCCGCCACUACCUAGUUGCAAGUGAAUCUGAGAAGGUGAGUGUUUUUUCAUUUCAGGCUUUAUGAAAUAGAAAGGCAAAGGAAGGGGGGUUUGAGCAGCCUUUGAACAGCCAGUUCACGUUUUUGCUAUACUGCUCUAGUCAGGUUUUCUAUUACCAGCAGCCUAAUACAAUUUCCAGGUGCCCCAAGUUGUGCUGACAACUUGGUGUAUAAGAGAGACAGUGCUUUGGGGUUAGUAUGAUCAGGGAAAGUUCACUGACAAAGUGGCAACCUAAGGCAAAUUACAUCACACUUUUUCUCUGCUUGUAAGUAAGUCUGAAUGUUCCAUGUUUUCCUGACCUAUUCUUAACCGAUUCCUGCUCCUCCUGAGUUGUUAUACAUAAAUUAGUUUUGGUUUUCUGCCUUCUUCUAAUAUAUAGCAAUACCUCUGUUUAUUGAAGGUGAAGGCAAAUACAGUUUGCAUUAGUCUGUUUUCACACUGCUAUAAAGAUACUACCUGAGACUGGGUAAUUUAUAAAGGAAAGAGGUUUCAUUGACUCACAGUUCAGCAUGGCUGGGGAGGCCUCAGGAAACUUACAAUCACAGCAGAAGGCAACGGGGAAGCAAGGCACAUCUUACAUGGCAGCAGGAGAGAGAAAGAGAGAGAGAGUGAAAGGGAAUUGCCAAACACUUUUAAACCAUCAGAUCUUGUGAGAACUCACUAUCAGGAGAAUAGCAGGGGGAAACCACCCCCGUGAUCCAGUCAUCUCCUACCAGAUUCCUCCCUCGACACAUGGAAAUUACAAUUCAAGAUGAGAUCUGGGUGGGAACACAGAACCAAACCAUAUCACAGAUGCUCCUUAUGAUAGGGUUACAUCCCAAUAAACCCUUUGUAAAUUGAAAAUAGUGUACAUCAAAAUGCAUUUAAUACAUCGAACCUAUCACACAUUAUAACUUAGCCUAACCUACCUUAAAUGUGCUUAGAAUACUUACAUUAGCCUACAGUUGGGCAAAAUCAUCUAACACAAAGCCUAUUUUAUAAUAAAGUAUUGAAUAUCUCAUGUCAUUUAUUAAAUGCUGUACCAAAAGUGAAAAAACAGAAUGGUUUUAUGGGUACUUGAAAUGUAAUAUCUAUUGAAUGUGUAUCGCUUUGGCACUAUUGUGAAGUUGAAAAAUCUUAAGAUGAACAGUCAUAAGUCGGGGACUGUCUGUAAAGUGUACCCACACAACUGAAGACUUGGUUUAUCAUGAAGCUUUUUCCAACCUUAUCUCCUAUCUGCUCUCCCCUUACAUUCCUGUCUCCACCCUACCCUCAAGCAUCCAUCAGAGAAAUGGUCAAAGCGUAAAGGGGAAUGCCUUUGGAUUCAUGGGAAGCUCAGUUAAGUGGGCUGUGAGCCUCCUCUUGCCCCAUCACUCAUCCUGUUCUGCCCACAGGAAAAUCUGACCAUAUGUUUCAUUUAACACAAAAUUCGAGAGUAUCUCCUAAACAGUAUUUUCCCCCAUAAAUGAACUCUGUAAACUUUUCAGUGCCAUAAAUAACUGGUAUGAUAUAUCAAGUUACUCUCUUGCUUCCCAGCCAAGCCCUGUUGAAAUCCCAGAAAGCUUUCCCCAUCCUCCAGCUUAAAUCCAGCUCACCAAGUUCUCACUCCCACCUCUCAACACCCCCAUCCAAACACUCCCUCCAGUCCCCACCACAAAGAUACUCUGCCCUGGCUAAGCAACCACCCCUAAUACUGUUUCUCUCUUGGUGGGGUUUGGAUGUUUAGAAUGUCCUGAGAAUUGGGGUUCUUUGAGUGUUUAUUAUAAAAUUUUAAAAGAUGUAGAAGAAUAGAGAGUUUAGUGAACAUUCAUCUACCUAUCUGGAUUCAGCAACUGUUAGCAUUUUUGUGCUUUGAGUUGUUUCAAAAUUGUGUUUUACAGCUGGUUUGUUCAAACCAGGAUCUAAAGAUUUUCUCACCCCUCAGUGUUACAGUAGCUAGGCAGGCAGAGAUGAGCAGGGCAGGAGAGGACCUCCCUCCAACAACAGGCAUGCCAGGCAACCAUCAGGUCAUGGUCAGGUGAUUGUUAACUGUCUCUCUAAAAUAAUAAUUGGUUGUGGCCCCGUGCCAGAGAGAGGCAGUCUCCCAACAGAUAGAAACACCUGAAACUGGUAAUCAGCAGCUUCCCAAUAAGAUUUCAGGAGUUGGGCGAGUGGGCUCAAACAUGUGCACUAAGAGGCAAAAUGGCAGAGUUUAAAGGGUAUAUGAACACUGGGUAAAGGAAGAAUUCCUCAAGUGAGCACGUGUACAACUUCAGUAAACACACUGUGCAUGUGGCCCCUCCCAACUGCUGGCAGGCCACUGUGCAUGUGGACAGCCCACCCCAAGGGAAGCAUCAGGGUAAGGGAGGAGACCACCCCUCAUAUUGUCUUAUGCCCAAUUUCUGCCUCCAAAGAAAGAAGAAGUAAAAACUAAAAGGCAGAAAUGAAAUUCUCAGGCAGACAGCCCGGCGCCGUGCCCUGGGCCUGGUUAAAGAUCGACCCCUGACCUAACCAGUUAUGUUAUCUAUAGAUUCCAGAUAUUGUAUGGAAGAGCAUUGUAAAAAUCCCUGUCCUGUUCUGUUCCGUUCUGAUUACCAGUGCAUGCAUCCCCCAGUCACGCACCCCCUGCUUGCUCAAUCGAUUACGACCCUCUCACGUGGACCCCCUUAGAGUUGUAAGCCCUUAAAAGGGACAGGAAUUGCUCACUUGGGGAGCUCGGUUUUUGAGACAUGAGUCUUGCCAACACUCCCGGCCGAAUAAAGCCCUUCCUUCUUUAACUUGGUGUCUGAGAGGUUUUGUCUGUGGCUAGUCCUGC